rnacentral:tRNA from 2 species
GAUUCCGUAGUGUAGCGGUUAUCACGUUCGCCUCACACGCGAAAGGUCCCCGGUUCGAACCCGGGCGGAAUCA